GCGACACCGCGUGCGGGAUGAAGGCCUUCGGGUUGUAAACCGCUUUCGGCAGGGAAGAAGCGAAAGUGACGGUACCUGCAGAAGAAGCUCCGGCUAACUACGUGCCAGCAGCCGCGGUAAGACGUAGGGAGCGAGCGUUGUCCGGAUUCAUUGGGCGUAAAGCGCGCGUAGGCGGCUUUGCAAGUCGGGUGUGAAAACCAGAGGCUCAACCUCUGGCCUGCAUCCGAAACUGCAAAGCUUGAGGUAGGUAGGGGAGAUCGGAAUUCCUGGUGUAGCGGUGGAAUGCGCAGAUAUCAGGAGGAACACCGGUGGCGAAGGCGGAUCUCUGGGCCUUACCUGACGCUGAGGUGCGAAAGCUAGGGGAGCGAACAGGAUUAGAUACCCUGGUAGUCCUAGCCGUAAACGUUGGACACUAGGUGUGGGCGGUUAUCAACCCCGUCCGUGCCGAAGCUAACGCAUUAAGUGUCCCGCCUGGGGAGUACGGCCGCAAGGCUAAAACUCAAAGGAAUUGACGGGGGCCCGCACAAGCGGCGGAGCGUGUGGCUUAAUUCGAAGCAACGCGAAGAACCUUACCUGGACUUGACAUGUAGGGUGAAACCGUAGAAAUACGGCGCUCUUAGGAGC
rnacentral:rRNA from 1 species